rnacentral:rRNA from 1 species
GGCCAGACUCCUACGGGAGGCAGCAGUAGGGAAUAUUGCUCAAUGGGGGAAACCCUGAUGCAGCAACGCCGCGUGAGUGAAGAAGUCAUUCGUGAUGUAAAGCUCUAUCAGCAGGGAAGAAAAUGGCGGUACCUGAGUAAGAAGCCCCGGCUAACUACGUGCCAGCAGCCGCGGUAAUACGUAGGGGGCGAGCGUUAUCCGGAUUUACUGGGUGUAAAGGGAGCGUAGACGGCUGGUCAAGUCUGAAGUGAAAGCCCGGGGCUUAACCCCGGAACGGCUUUGGAAACUGAGCAGCUAGAGUGCUGGAGAGGUAAGCGGAAUUCCUAGUGUAGCGGUGAAAUGCGUAGAUAUUAGGAGGAACACCAGUGGCGAAGGCGGCUUACUGGACAGUAACUGACGUUGAGGCUCGAAAGCGUGGGGAGCAAACAGGAUUAGAUACCCUCGUAC